GCACCGGAUCCCAUCAGA
rnacentral:snRNA from 1 species